rnacentral:rRNA from 1 species
GAUGAACGCUGGCGGCGCGCCUAAUACAUGCAAGUCGAGCGAACGGACGAGAAGCUUGCUUCUCUGAUGUUAGCGGCGGACGGGUGAGUAACACGUGGAUAACCUACCUAUAAGACUGGGAUAACUUCGGGAAACCGUAGCUAAUACCGGAUAAUAUUUUGAACCGCAUGGUUCAAAAGUGGAAGACGGUCUUGCUGUCACUUAUAGAUGGAUCCGCGCUGCAUUAGCUAGUUGGUAAGGUAACGGCUUACCAAGGCAACGAUGCAUAGCCGACCUGAGAGGGUGAUCGGCCACACUGGAACUGAGACACGGUCCAGACUCCUACGGGAGGCAGCAGUAGGGAAUCUUCCGCAAUGGGCGAAAGCCUGACGGAGCAACGCCGCGUGAGUGAUGAAGGUCUUCGGAUCGUAAAACUCUGUUAUUAGGGAAGAACAUAUGUGUAAGCAACUGUGCACAUCUUGACGGUACCUAAUCAGAAAGCCACGGCUAACUACGUG